ensembl:lncRNA
GUACGUGCAUAUAUAUAGUAUAUGUAUAUAUACGUGUAUAUAGUAUAGAAUAUACAAUACCUAAAAUACGUAUAACUGUAUAUAUUAACUGUUAUAUAUUAUGUCUGUUGCCCAUACAAUGCCAAAAUAUGGGAACACACAUAUAUAUAUAUACAUUUAUGUGUUUCUGCUAGGGCUGCUCCAGAAGUAAUGCCUCCUAUGUUAUGAUACUCGCCCAUUACAUCAAAGGAGGAUGUUGGGGGGAUGGCAGUAGAGGUUGAACCUUCCCACCAAUAUUCCAUUAUAUGUUGUUGCCGUGUGACAGAUGGCAGCAGAGGGGUGGUCUGACACAGCGGUGUCUGACAUGGAAGCGCGGAUGGAGCAAAGUUGUGUCACUGAAUUCCUCCACGUGCAAAAAAAUGACACUCAUUAAUGUUCAUCAACGCUUACUAAACAUUUAUAGACACCCAACAGUGGAUGUGAGCACAACGAGGCCUUUAGCAGUGGUGCCUUUAGCAGUGGUGUCAGUGACAGUGGGUCACCUCCACUGGUGCCAAUUUUUAUGAGCAUGGCAGGCAGGUUCUUUUUCAUUGCUGGUGAAAAUGCACAGCUAACAGUGGUGACUAUGUUGAAAAGUAGUGUUUUGUAGCUGAGAAUUUGCUCUAUCACACAGUGUUGUUGUGCUCUUUAUUGUAGUUUCCAUGAAAAUAAAUAAAAGGCACAACUUUUGCUGCAGCCUACAUACAUAUAUGCAUAUGUAUGUGUGCAUAAAUGUGUGUGUGUGUUGCUGAUACUGAACAUGUCACUGGCAAAAUGCUGCUCGUGCUGAAGGCACCAGAAAUUGGUCUCGUCUUUCAGCAGGAGAGGGAUUCUCUCACAUCACACUGAGCAUCCCGUAUUUCCCGAAACAAUGAAUUUACACACAACACCAUCACUUGUGAGUAAUGUGGUAUUCCAAAGUUCAAGCUAAUAAAAUCUUUAUUGGCGGACACCACUGUGCAUGACUUUAUGGCAAAGUGUAUCUAUCUUCUUUGACCUCAAACGAACCAAAACCAGUGGCACAGGCACAGUGGCACCCAAGGAAGUGGUAGAGUCAUUGUUUCAGGAGGUGCUUAAGAACUGUAUGGAUGUGGCACUGAGGGACAUGCUUAGUGGGUAUAGUGGGGGUGGGCUGACAGACUGGGUGAUCAGAGAGGUCUUUUCCAACCUUAAUGAUUCUAUGGUUCUGUCUAUGAGUUAAGCCUAAAGCUCUGACUCAAAAAGCUGAACGUCUGUGGCUGCCAUUUAUUUACGCCAGAGCCUAAAAGCAGGGCACUAAGCCUGGGGUUCUAAUGACAAAUUUCAAAGCAUGACACCAAUAAAAGAUUUUUCUUUAUUUUAUAUGCAAGUCAUUCAGAAGAACACAUUUAAAUUUCUAGCCUGCAUGCACGUCAUCUAGCCCUAUGGCUGCAUGGAUAGUUGGACACGUCCUUUUAUUUGUUUCAUUAUAUUCUUUGAAAUGAAGGAAACAACUGAACACUGGCACUUCGGAGGACAUUCUUUUUAUAGGGACAAGGAAAAAAAAAUAAAAAUUAAAAAAAUACUUGUAGCAGACUGCCCAGAGAAGCUGUGGUGCCUCAUCCCUGGAGGUGCUCAAGGCCAGGUUGGAUGGGGCCCUGGGCAGCCUAAGCUGGUGGGGGGCAGCCCUGCCCAUGGCAGGGGUUGGGGCUGGGUGGUUCCCUCCAACCCAAAUCAUUCUGUGAUUCUAUGAUUCUAUGCUUCUAUGCUUCUGUGAUUCUAUGAUUCUACAAUACUCUUUCAUUCCUGAAUCUCCAGGUCCAGUCAGAAUACUGCCCAUGAGAAGAGAAGCCUAGCCUUCAGGUGGAGGAAGUAGGCAGUGUUCUCUCACAUGCAAAUCAUACUGUAAAUCGCAAAUUCCUGUGCAGCUGAAGCUCUGUACCCUUGCUGGUCCCAGAGAUGUUGGGGACUCUGCUCCUGGGGAUGUCACCAUAUGGAGAAGAAUGUUCCCACGGCACAGAGCAGCCCAUCAGAGAGGGAGGGGUCCCCCCAGCCAGGGAGAUGUGCAGGUGUUUCCCUGGCGCCACGGCGCCUCGUCAUGGCUCUGCCCCUGACAGCUCAAUGCAUCUGCUCCUGCCUCAGAACAAUUUGGUGCCGGGUCGCUCCGCACUGUUUCAUGGACAGCACAAACAGAAGCACGCCUGACUGCAGCUGAGCCACAAGGGCCCUUCCCACCAUACACCCACCGAUGCCUCAUUGCCCCCACUGCACCCUGCCAUCUGCACCCAUGUGUACUUUCAUCCCUUGUUCUCCUCUGCUUGCCUUUUCUAUCAGAGACAGUGCUAACAGUGCUUCACGUGACAGAGUGCAUGCUGUUUUAUACAUCAAGAUAGUAACCCCAUAAUUUACUUUAUUUACCUUUUAAUCCAUCUAUUGAUUGCUGCUGUCAGUUCCUGCUAGAGCAAGGAACAGCUCUGGUACCCGCAGUGUGCUCGUGGGACUCACCUCUACCACACGGGUUUGCAGUCGUUGAGUGUGCAUUGAACCAUUAUGAGUCAUGGCAAUUUGGUUUUCCUUUUGCUGGGGCUUUCUCACUGUGGAUAUGGCUUUGAGUUAUAUGGCUGCACAUAAAAUGUAAUUAAUAUUAAUCCUGCUUUAGCUAUGUGGUAGUAAAAAAGUCUGUCUUUAUUGCAGUUGUCAAAACUGCUUUCAUAAUGAGAAAAAUAGACUGAUUUGACAGAAUGAGAAUUAUCACUGUAUCAGAAAUUAACUCUAUUUUUAGGGAUGAAGUCUGAAGUUUGAAUCAAAGAACAGUUUGAGUUGGAAGGGACCCUUGAAGGCCAUCCAGUCCAAUUCCCCUGCAAUGAACAGGGAUACCUGCAGAUUGAUCAGGUUGCUUAGAGCCCCGUCCAGCCUGACCUUGGAUGUCUCCAGGGACACCAUCCACCACCUCCCUCACCACUCUUACUGUAAAAAACUUAUUCCUUAUGUCCAAUCUAAAUCUCUUUUAAUUGAAAACCAUUUCCCCAUGUCCUGUCACAGCAGACCCUGGUAGAGCCUGUCCCCUUCCUUCUUAUAGCCCCCCUUUAGACACUGACAGGCAUAUCUGAGGUCUCCCUGGAGCCUUCUCUGCUCCAGGCUGAACAGUCCCAGCUCUCUCAGCUCUUUGUUCUUAUUUUCUGACCUGUCUUCAAUAUCAAGAAAACAUUUCCAGAAAAAACUUAUCUGACUGUUUCAAGAAGUGGAUCUCUGGGAGCUGUACCUUUGGUGCUCUCUAGUAGUAUGAUCAAAGAAAUAAAAAUGACUGGGG